GCAGCCGUGUAUACCACCAUGGAUGCACCUAAUCUUGUCUAAUCUCAGAAGCUAAGCAGGGUAGGGAGGGCCUGAUUAGUACCAGCAGAAAUACUGUAUGAAUGUGCCAAAGGCUUUUAUUUAACUCAUGGAUGCA
rnacentral:rRNA from 1 species